GUGCCAGGACCACCGCGGCAUCUUCCCGAGCAGCCACAGCCCCCCGCGAGUGCCGGGGGCUGCACCUCUGCGGGACCCCCUGGCCGGGCCCUGGGCACCCCGAAAGGUCUGAAAACAGAUGUUUUCAUUCUAGUCUCUGGCUCGUUAGAUGGUUGGGGGUUUUUUUGUUGGGUUUUUUGUGUUGUUAUUUUUUUUUCUUUUUCUGGCCGUCUCCAGUUACUUUUAGCCCGACCAUUCCUUGUCCCACCCUUCUUCCGUACGGUACUGGCGCCUGGCUGGCUUUGGCACGUCCUCCUCCUCCAGCCUGUGGCUGCUCUGGCCGCCGUGGUUAACCGAGAGGGGCACGGCCAGGGUGGCUCUGGGCGAGGUGACAAAGGACGUGCACACCAGGUAUGGCCCACAACGCCCCGGCAGAGGAGAAGGGAGCAGGAGCUGUUUCCUGGUGUGGGCCACCACCAGGUCCUGCUGGGCCACCAGCUGGGCUGCUCUGACGGUGGUACCAGGGUAAAGGGUGCCCCCAGGAACAGCCCUGUGGCACCGCCGUGGGCACUGACAGGGCCCUGUGGUGGCCCCAUGCCUGAGCCCCCCUGGGUGAGUCCCCGCUGUCAGUGUGGCCCCGAGCUGGCCCUGGCAAAGGUCCCCCCACCAUCCCCGCCCGGGCCACCUCCCAUCACCCAUCCUGCCCCGCUGUGCUCUGUGCCAGGUGCCAGGAGCUCCCACGGGGGUGACCUUGUCCCCUACCUGCCAGACACGGCUGGAAGGGAAGUCAACCCCUGGCUCUUAUCACAGCCAAGUCUGGGAAUACGCUCAAGGACAAGGAAUAAAAAUGUUGCAACCAAACACAAGCCACGCACCACACCCAGGCACCUUUCCCAUCUGCCGCAUCUUCACAGCCCCUGUAGCACUUCCGUGACCACUUCCCAGCUCGGCUGGCUCCGGUUCCCCUGUGACCAUCCCCUGUCUGUGGUUCUCUGUGGAGCUGCCUUUCAUCGCCGCCAGCUCCCCCCAAAAAGCAAUGAACAAUGGGUUGGCAGAGUUUGCUGA
rnacentral:lncRNA from 1 species